UCCACGCCCUAAACGAUGAACACUAGUCGUCGGGAUGCUAGUCAUCUCGGUGAUGCACUUAACAGAUUAAGUGUUCCGCCUGGGGAGUACGGUCGCAAGAUUAAAACUCAAAGGAAUAGACGGGGACCCGCACAAGUGGUGGAGCAUGUGGUUUAAUUCGAAAAUACGCGAAGAACCUUACCUAGCCUUGACAUUGAAGAAACAGAGUAGAGAUACACUGGUGCCCUUCGGGGAAUCUGAAAACAGGUGCUGCACGGCUGUCGUCAGCUCGUGUCGUGAGAUGUUGGGUUAAGUCCCGCAACGAGCGCAACCCUCGUCACUAGUUAC
rnacentral:rRNA from 1 species